UCUCUUUUUAAUUCGGCAUGUACCUCCCCCAGGUCUGUCCAAGCUGUCCCGCAAGAAUGGCAAUGGCAAACUGAGAUAAACCCAGGCCAUCAGGUUAAUGAAACCACUUUGGGGAUGCUAGCUACUACCGUUCUAUGAACUGUUGCUGAUUGGAACUGGCAGGGGCACGGUACUACUGCCAGUACUACUUGAACCUUGCGAGAUUUCAGCACUGGGAGGUACGGCCAUCCAUCUCCUCCGCUCCAAUCCAAGAACCAACGUCAAGAAACAGAGAGGAGAGAGACAUAGGUAGCCGUUUCUCUCACCACCCCUCCUUCCAAUUCCGGUACGGCGAGUGCUCACCGGAUCCAAGAAGAACAGAGCCCCUCCUCUUUCUGGUUCUUCACUCUUGUGUUUCGAGGGUUUGUUUGGUUUUUUCCUCUUGAAUUUUCUGAUUUGGAACUUCUUCGUCGAUUUCCAAAGAUAUUUGGCUGAUUAUGUGGCAAUUUUCAAAGUAAGUGCUUUCUGAUGUGGAGAAGCUCUUGAGAGAUUGACAGAAGAGAGUGAGCACACGGCGAGAUGAACGGUAUAAGGUAUAUGCCAUCCUCGUCGUGUGCUCACUCCUCUUUUUGUCAAUCUCUUUCUCUCGAGGGUUUACCUCCUAUUUAGAUCCGCUACUAGAGGUGUAAAACUGUUUGAGUUUGAUUUGAUUCAAAUACAAUUCAGCCGAUCUGAUCUAGACUUUUUCCUUAUAAGAUAUGUUAUAUACAUUAAGUUGUUAUGAGAAACUCAAUCACAAGAGACAGCACUCAUAUCUACAGUACUAUGACUUUUCUUCUACUUUAAACUACCACUUUUUUAUCUCUUCCAUGUUCAUACACAUGGUUUUUCCUCCUUUUCUUCUGACCUUCCAGUCAAAGUUGUCGUGGGAACUACUGCCGAGGCCAGUGAUACGGAUGCUGAUGGUAAUGUAGUACUCGUCUCGCCUUGGGAGCUGAAUUAUGGAGAUGCUGCCAGUACACUGCAAUACUGCGAGGAUAAAUCAGCGGAAUAAACUACACCCGCCCUUUCUGUCUCUACAAGUCCUCUCUGCUUUCGUGCUUUCUUGUUCCUUUUAGGUUCUUAGGCAUGCAGGUUGUUUGGCCAUGGUGGUGGGGUUGAUCAAGUUCUUGUUGGCUCAAUGUUGGCUCAAAAAUGGAGCAUGGAGGAGGCUAACAGAUGAGUUAUAUUUGGCAAGGAAGGCACCCUCAGUUUGCUUUUGCCAGAUCUCGUUUGCACUAGGACAAGUGCAUCAUGAUAAACCAGCUACUACACCGUUAAUAUCCUCAUAACCAAGGUAUCUCCAUGAUCUUAGGCUCCUUUGGUUACUUACCUCGGCGUUCCUUCUGAGUGAACUGCUGCCACCUUUGCUGUCUUGUCUGUCGGAUGCUUUUUUGGCUAGUGCUUGCACUUGGAUAACCUUUUUUUUGUUUGCCGUGAGAUGCAUGGUGUGGUAAUGGCUAGGAAGUUGAUGGAUGACAACGAGGAUUAUCUAAAUGAAAGAUAAAUACAUUUUAUAUUGCAUCCAUUGUUUGAUGUGUACUAGGUUAACUGAACCUGCUGUCGACCAUAUAUUCAGAAUAGCUUCUUUUCUUGAAGAGACAGGCGCAAAGCAUUGAAAAGAAGUGUUGGUUUCUAUCUAUCUGAAUUGCAUCGAGUAGUAAACUACCUAGAAGCAGAGCUAGAGUAAUUUGUGUGGAGGAAUGAGAGACACGUAGUAAAGCUAUUCUCUAGCAGGAUCAUGUGGUUCAAGUUGAUGGAUGCUUUAGAAAAGUUACUAGUCGACGCAUGUAGAUCCUUCCGGGAUAGGAGAUAAUUCUUUCUACUCAUUGACUUCUAAACAUUAAAUUCUUGCUGAGUUUUUAGUGGUGAUCAUUUUUCCACGGCUAACUCCAUGUUUUAGAAAUGUUGAUGGAUAAUAGAUGUGAUCAUCAUAGUGCUCUUUCACCACCAUCAGCACUUCUUUUUACAUAUCACCUUUUUGUAUUUACCUCUUUAUUUUAAUUAACGAGUUUAGUAUAUAUGUUUCACUUUAAUUUUAGUUUGGGUUCAAAUAGAAAGGGACCGUUUUAGACAUUCUUUUUACGAGAACCAUUUAAUUUAGACAUUCUUGAUGUCCUUUUAGACCAGUCCGUGUAUUAUUUUGUUUAUACACACAGCUGCAUGGUGUUCACAAUUUUUGACCUUGUUCUCUUCCUAAUCCCUUUGUAUUGUUCAUAUUGAUAUGUUCGUAUGUAGAAGCAUAUGAUAGCAUUACAUAUGUGCAAAGGCAUGUUUGCCCAGUUCAAAUAAAAUCUACACACACCAUAGAGGAAGUUGUGGUCUAAUUUGAUUUAGUAAAAUUAAUUUCGUCUAGAGUCGCAUUGAAAAUUUAUCUGCAUUAAUUAAAUUUAUGUAGACAUAUCUAGGCGCACAUUUCACUUGUACCGACACAAAUUUAAAAUUGGUAUAUAAGACAUAUCUUUAUGGUUUAACAAAUUAUUUUGUUUGGUUGCUUCAAGAAGGAAAAAGAUGUGCCGAAAGAAACCAUGUAAAAAUUAAAGAGAAUUCGACUAAGCAUUACAUGACGCAAAUAAUUCAUGAUGUACAUAUGCAUGAUUAUUUUUUACUUUCGAUGAAUGCAUGAUUAAUUUCUAUUGCUCACCUGUCAAAAUUCAGUGCAACUAUUUGAACUAUAUUUGCUUCCUUAUUAGCUGACUUGUAUAAUAUAUAUUCUAGGUACGUAUACUGCAAAUAAUUAUGUAAGAUAAAGCAAUUACUGUAAAUAUUUGCUUAUACCUCAACAUGUUCAGAAAGUGGCCCUGUGUGUUUAAUUUUUGUAUUGUUUGUGUGACUAAUGAUCUGCACACAAAUCAGCUGCACUCGACCACAUAUUAUCUAUAGGAAGAAGUAGGGCAUAUCUGCAAUGCAUUGCACUUCCCUAUUAAACCUAAGUAGGACAUGAAAUGAUCAGACAAUACGUGUCUCCCUGACGAAUCCUGAUCAACAUUAAUUAGCUAUCUGGUAGACCCAUGAUCUUCCGGGUCAUAUAUUGGUGCACGCACUGUGUGCAAAAUGGAACCACAAAUAACGUACAAAUAUAUAUGCGCAUUCAUAGAAGGAACAAGCUGCAGUGCAUUACUAGCAAGCUAGACACAUGCACAUUGACAAAUGUAUCCAUUCCAACUAACUUACUAUAUGAUUAUGCAACCAUUAAUAAUAUUUUUUGAUGGUUAUUUGUAUACCAAUGGUACGUAGUAUCUUCUUGCAUAUAUAUGUUCCACUGUUCGUCAUCUUCUAAAUUGUUGGCAAAUAUUUUUUAACUGAUUAAGUAGGAAUGUCACAAGAGAUUUGGAUUGUACUGUAAACACUGUUGGGUAUAUUGGAAAAAUACUAAAGAAAUAUAAUUAUCAUUGAACAUUGAUAGAGAAUCUAUCGGUGAAAGAUACAUAUUAGUUGUUUGCGUCCCUUCUAAGAAUAAAUCUUUUAAUUUCAUUAAUAUAUAUAGUGGAGUUUAUUUUGUUUCUGACAAUAGGAAUGUCAUAUUUAUUAGCCAGUACUUUAAAAUGUUACCACCUCUGAUUAUUAUAAAUAUAUAUAAUCGUUCUAAAAUAUUUCCGUGCUGAGCAUUAUAAUGACUAAACAUCAAUAUAAAAAAGAGAAACUCGGAUUAAUGCCAUUGCAAAUUAAGUUUGCUCGGCUGUGAGACAGUCAUAGCAGAAUAGCAUUUAUCCAGUUUUCCUGGCUGCAUGAAAUUCUCAACAUUACAAGAUUAUCUGUGAAAUAUACUUUGGUAAUAUAUGGCUUUUAUGAUAUGUUAGAAAUUAUAUAAUGAUAGAAAAAGUCCAUAUUUGGAAUUCUAAGUAGUUUUACAUUUUUUAUAUGUAAUUGAUGUGUUGUUCCUGCGUAAUUAGCAAACAUUGGGAGCAUGAUUCGAUCCUUCACUAGAUGUCACUGAGUUACUGUUGUCACCAGGCUAGAGGAUUUAAGUAGCAGUUUUCCUUUGGAAGGAGAUUAAAGAAAUUUAGUUAGAACCAUUUGAAGCAAAAGUCAUGUAAUCAUGCUAUUAAGAACGGAGCAAUAACAACUUGCGCAUGCAUGCAUGCUGUGCACAUUAAAUCAACUAAGUUUUUGUAAUAACGGCAUUUAUCUGUGCUUGGAUCGAACGAGUAUCUUAUUGGUAGUUAGCCCCAUUUGGAAGUGAUUGAACCUGGGAUAAACUCAAAACAUCUAUGUUGUGAUGAUCACAUAGCUGUUUAGGGUCUGUUUGGAAUGCAGGAAAUUCACAAGAAUCAGUUUAACUCGUAUAGGAAUUGUGAACAACUUACAUGUUCCAAUUGGUGCUUAUCAGCUAUAUCUUAAAAAUUGGUAUUUAACUAUCAUGAGAUCUAAGGGCAUUAAAUAUUUAGACUUCUUUUGAACAAAGGAUAAAUAGAGAAAAUUUAAUGGAAUUGAUCAUAUGGAGCUCUUCGGAAUAAUGGAAUGUCCGAAUGUGCCUGUAAAAGUCCUUUGGGAUUACUUGCUCCAUAGGAAUAUUGAGGAUUUCUAACUUGAGUUCCAACCCUGUGGAAAAAUCUAUUUGUGUCAUUCUCUCUUUUCUAAUUUCUAUAUGUUUGAGCCUCUAAAAUUCCAAUGGAAUGAGUUGCCCUAUCAGAAUAUUGAGGAAUUCUAACUUGAGACCAACCUCGUGAAAUAAUCUAAUAUUGUCAUUCUCUGCUCUCUAAUUUCUAUACUUUUCUUGUGUUUUAUGAUACUUAUUUUGCAUUUUACACUACUACUAAAUUCCUCUUUUUUUCUUACUAGCAGAAUGCCCGUACGAUACCACGGUUAAAACUAAAUUCUAUUACUUGCUUUGAAGACCAAUAUUUUUUUUUGUUUCAGCUAAUAUAUAUUGGUCUACUCCUUACAUAUCUACAUAUUCCAUUUUAGUCCGAACAUUUAUUUUGAGAACCCCCAAAAAAUACAACCAUACCUCCGGUCCAUAAUCUUUAUCGUUUGAUACCAAUGAGUCAUCGAAUGAGGUAUUAUUCACCUGUAGCAAAUUGACUCUACCAUUUGGAGACGGAUAAUUCAGAGUUGCUAUUAACCUCACGUAAGUGUGAACCAUAGCAAUGUCACUUUAAGCGUUCAGUUAAGCAUGACUAAAAACAGUACACAUUCACUAUAUAAUUUCACACGUGGCAUAUGUUACAUGUAACCACGCAGAGACACAAGUUACAAAUUAUUAUUUUAAAUUCCCCCUAAACAUGGCCUGUGCAUAUUCGAAUCCCUAGGGAUGGAGGGUGUGCACUAUUAUUUCCUUUUUUUUAACUGCAAUACAACAAUAUUAACAGCAGAGGCUCCUAAUUUUUAGGGUAUUUUGGAAGGCAAGGAUGCAAAAUAAAGGAAUGAGAAAAGUAGAGCAAAGACAUAGGAAUGUAAUGCAAAAAUAGAUGAUUUAAAAGGACCGAAAAUAUUUAUAAGAAGAGGUGCCUGCAACAAAGGAAUGGAAACAUAUAACCUUUCUGAGAGAAAGGAACGGAAAUAUAUAAUUUCCAUUUCAACUAACUGACAAUGGCCCCAAAAUACAUGGUCAUCACAUCUAGGCCUAUCAGAGAACCUAGAUUCUUCCAUUGAGCCACUGACCGAUGGGCCCAAUAAACCGAAGGUCUCACCGAUCAGAAAUCCUCUCAUCUUAUCCCUUCUCUCUCGUUCUUAUCCUUUCACUGUUCUCUAUAGUUCUCUCUCGCUCUAUGCUCAUCUUCUCUCCUGGUCUCUCUCUCUCCCUCCUGUUGAAGCGAGAUACGUUGGACACAGUUCGAGGCAUCACCAUGGCGGGGGUUCAAGUCGAUCUGAUUUCGCCCCUCCCGGAGUGCAUCCACCUAUGGAGUGUGCAAUGCCUCAAUCUAGUCCAUAGCUGUGGUGAGCUUUCGUCCAUGGUGGCGGUGGCACACCACUUGCAGGAGAGCAAACUUUUCUCCCCCCCCCCCCCCCUCUCUCUUCCACACAUAGCUUUCCUUGGCCUCCGCGAAUGGAUUUUUUAUUUCCUGUGUUUUGGGAGGAAAGGAACCCUUUCAUGUGGAAUUGGAAGGUGCAAUUGCUUCGUUUUGCCUACAUUCAAAACGACCCUUGAGUGGAUUUUUCCGUUCCUAUGAAAUCUCACAAGGUAACAUUAGUUAAAAAUAGGAAUCAUAUCGACCUUUCUUCAUUCCAAACGGCAAAAUGAGGCCAUUCCGCAGGGCGAUGGGGCUCUUGGAGGCGAUUGCUUGCACAUGCGACGGGAUCUAGGAGGCGGCGGUGCAACUCGCAUGCUUGGUGGGGGUGGAAGGAUGGGGAGCCGAUCCACGGGAGGCGUUGAGUGAUGGAGCGAGGCGAGGAAACACAUAUUUGGUAUGGGCCCACCUAUCAGCAUGAGCUAUCUCUGAGCAAGGGAGGUGGGGUGGUGACGGAUAACCACCAUCACCGUCACCAACUCAUAAUUUUGAAGUAGUGAAGACUUUAUCUCUUUUUAGCCGGUUCUUAUCUUUCAAAUUGGAUCUUACCGUGUGAUGAUAACUACCCUGCAGAGCCCUUGACAUUUGGUUAGUCACCACUCUAGAUCAAUGCUAUUACAAAGAUAAA